ensembl:lncRNA
CACCUGCCAAUGCAGGAGACAUGGUUUGAUCCCUGGUCUGGGAGGAUCCCACACGUGGCAGAGCAACUAGCCUGUGUACCACAACUAUUAAGCCUGUGCUCUAAAGCCUGGGAGCCACAACUACUGAAGCUCCUGGGCCAAGAGCCUGUGUCCCACAAGAGAAGCCACCACAAUGAGAAGAAGCCACCACAAUGAGAAGCCACCACCGCAACCAGAGAGUGGCCCCCACUUGCUGCAACUAGGAAAAGCCCAAGCAGCAACAAAGACAUAUCACAGCCAAAAAUAAGAGUUUGACCUUUACAACAGCGGCCGCUGUAAGCAACUGAAGAGAUUUAAACAAAAGACUGUCUGGUCAGAUUUGCAUUUUAGAAAACUACUCUGGCUGCCACCUACAGAAUCCCCUGAAGGCUGGUAACAUGGAGGCAGGAAGGCUUAUCAGCCCUACUCCGUAAUCCAGACCAAAGUUUAGAAUGAGCAAACUGGAGGCGAGGCAGUAUGGAGAAGUAGAUUGACAAGAAAUACAGGAGUCAGG